rnacentral:rRNA from 1 species
AAAGCCUCCUUCGGGGGGCAAGUAGAGUGGCGCACGGGUGAGUAACACGUAGGUAAUCUACCUUUGGAUUGGGAAUAACAACCGGAAACGGUUGCUAAUACCGAAUAAUGCAGCGGCACCUAAUGGUGACAGUUGUUAAAGCGGGGGAUCGCAAGACCUCGCGUCUAAAGAGGAGCCUGCGGCGGAUUAGCUAGUUGGUAAGGUAACGGCUUACCAAGGCGAUGAUCCGUAGCCGGCCUGAGAGGGCGGUCGGCCACACUGACACUGACAUACGGGUCAGACUCCUACGGGAGGCAGCAGUCGGGAAUUUUGGGCAAUGGGCGAAAGCCUGACCCAGCAACGCCGCGUGAAGGAUGAAAUCCUUCGGGAUGUAAACUUCGCAAGAACGGGAAGAAUAAGUGGGAGUUAAUAUCUCUCACGAUGACGGUACUGUUUGUAAGCUCCGGCUAACUCCGUGCCAGCAGCCGCGGUAAUACGGGGGGAGCAAGCGUUGUUCGGAUUUACUGGGCGUAAAGGGCGCGUAGGCGGCCACCGCAAGUCGACUGUGAAAUCUCCGGGCUUAACCCGGAAAGGUCAGCCGAUACUGCGGGGCUAGAGUGCAGAAGGGGCAACUGGAAUUCUCGGUGUAGCGGUGAAAUGCGUAGAUAUCGAGAGGAACACCUGCGGCGAAGGCGGGUUGCUGGGCUGACACUGACGCUGAGGCGCGAAAGCUAGGGGAGCGAACGGGAUUAGAUACCCCGGUAGUCCUAGCCUUAAACGAUGAAUGCUUGGUGUCUGGGGUUUUAUAGUCCCCGGGUGCCGUCGCUAACGCUUUAAGCAUUCCGCCUGGGGAGUACGGUCGCAAGACUG